rnacentral:rRNA from 1 species
UGGGGAAUAUUGCGCAAUGGACGAAAGUCUGACGCAGCGACGCCGCGUGUGGGAUGACGGUCUUCGGAUUGUAAACCACUGUCGGGAGGGACGAAUACGCCGCAAGGCGGGUGACGGUACCUCCAAAGGAAGCACCGGCUAACUCCGUGCCAGCAGCCGCGGUAAUACGGAGGGUGCGAGCGUUGUCCGGAAUCACUGGGCGUAAAGGGCGCGUAGGCGGCCUGAUAAGUAGGGGGUGAAAUCCUGCGGCUUAACCGCAGGGCUGCCUUCUAAACUGUCAGGCUUGAGCACAGUAGAGGCAGGUGGAAUUCCCGGUGUAGCGGUGGAAUGCGUAGAGAUCGGGAAGAACAUCAGUGGCGAAGGCGGCCUGCUGGGCUGUUGCUGACGCUGAGGCGCGACAGCGUGGGGAGCAAACAG